GGGGAUUUAGCUCAGCGGCAUAAGCAACUGCCUUGCAAGCAGGUGGUCGUGAGUUCAAUCCCCA
rnacentral:tRNA from 1 species